UUAUUUUGAUGAAUCUAUGGCUAGUAUCGGGGGAUAUGAACCAUAGAGAAGUUGGAAUACAGUAGGUUUAACACCAAUUUAAAACAAUAAUGAGGCUAGCCAACUCGCAUCCACGGAGCUCCCCCGAUCGGGGCUUUGUUGGCCGUCCGAUCUGCCUUCUAGCGCGCCUGAGCCGUUGGAUCUUCACAGCAGUCAAAUUUGAUUUUCACCUUGCAGUCAUUUUCACUAGCCAAUGACGGGUGGGCUCGUCUCGGUGUUCAUUGGCUGGGUCAGCCAUGCCCGCGUGCAGGAAAUUUUUGGCCAAUCCGCUCCUCGUGUUCCGCAGCCAAUCCUAUCCUCCCCUCAGUCCCGUACCAGUCGCCGCACAAACCCUAGCCCCCAUUCCCCUCGAUCCCCAUAGUCUAUCCGCCUCCUCCUCCCAUCACCACGUCCUCCGCCAUGGAGCCUCGCCGCCGUGUGCGUCUCCCUUCUCCACCAUGCUGCCCUUCCACCUCGCCUCCCUUCUCUUCUUUGUCUAUGCGGCCGUCGGUGGUGGCUGGUUCCAAAUCGGGCGCGGAUUAGCCGAGCCCGGUGGUGAGGUGAAGGAGCAGGGUGGGCGACCCGUCGCGAUGGGAUGGGGCUAGGGAAGAGGGAGGAGGCCGAAGGGUGAAGGAGCAGGCCGGCCCUCACGGUCACAGAGGCGCCGCCGCUGUCCAGGGUCAUUCGCCGUCACCAGCCUCACUCGCCUCGUCUCCUAUCUCUUCACCACUGCAUCCAUGUGAAUUUUUGGAGAAUGGUGCUCCGAUUUGGUCCCCAUGGCCUGCAACAUUUAUGGAGGAGGAUUGCAGGUGUCGAUACAAUGGAUCAAUUUCUGGCUUUGUAGUUGGAGCAUAGCCUCGAUUAUGCAUGAUUUUGGGGUUUUGCUCUCUCCCUGUGUGCUACACAUUUCUGCUCUCCCCAGUAGCAAUUGGAUGUUAAGCUGCUAUGGGCAGCGGCGGUGCAUCAAGGUGCAAGGCAGCAACGACAUGGUCAUAGUACGCUAAAGGAUGAACUCCUACUUUUUCUGAUGCUAGCUCCUUGCUGUAGAUAUACCAGCCUGCUUACAUCUCCCAAGAUAUCCUCUUGGUCAAGGCAAUUGCACAUGAUGAAGCCACUCAUUUUAGUGGUAUACCACACUUUGAGCAAUAGGACCAAAAACAGGAAGAUAAAUUUUCACAAUUCGAUACUUCAUAUUUUCCAGAAGUACGGCCACCUUCUGCACAGUUCCCUUGCAUUGGUGUUCUUAUCAAAUAAGUUUCUUUCCGUAGAAUUUGUUCAGGAUAUGCAUUGUGCUUAAACAUGAGUGCUCGCUUGCCAAACGUUGGCCCUCGGAUGAAUUCGACGCUUCAAUCGAGCUGACGAGCCCCAUGGGGGUGAGAGGCGGAUAACAAUACGAGAAGGAGCAUGCCAUCGAGGAGUGCAAGCAGCGGCACUCCUCCGCAAUGGGGUAUGGCUGCAGGGGAGGGGACGCGGCGAACGACAGAAAGAAGGAGCAGGUAUUCGAGGACUACAAGCAGCAGGGUAAGAUGUGUAUAUUUUCAAACGAUCUUGACUGUUUUGCAACAUGUAUUGCAUUUCCAGGGAUGAUCCUUUUGCUUAUUUAUUAUUUGCUAUGUUCUCUGAAGAUUAUUUUUGGCCCAUACAGUUUCCAAUGGAUGUUUUGGUUCUGAGUGGCCGGAGAUAUUGUGGCUUGAUGUCCCUAGAGCAGUCGGACCCUUCCAAGAUAGGUGAGCCUGAUUUCUUCUGAACUCUUGCACCACAAUACGUGAAAAGGAAUAUGUCCGCCUAUCAGCACCAUUUCUUGAGGAGGAUUGUUGUUUCCCCUUUAUUUUGUCACACCUUUCAUGUGAUGGAGUUUUUCUAGGUAACUUUAGAUACUAGGAAUCAAUGCACUUUUAGAUAGUACAUUAGCCCCGAUGGUGCUAUCAUUAAUAUCUAUUUUUGCGCUUUUCAAAUUUUCUACUAUGCUAUUUAUCAUGUUCAGGGAUUAUGACUUUACACAUGUAAUGCUGAUUUGAAAACUUCCCUUGAUUUGUUCCUCAAAUGUUAUGAGAGAGUGUUGCGUAUUAGGAAACCCCUUGGAUAGUUAAGGUGUUGUGUCAGCUGACUAAUAUAAAGUUAUAUUUCCAGCAGAAGAUAUUUGGGAUUGACGUUCUGAUGAGAAAGUAGCAUACGGAUGGAUGGACAUGAACUAUUCAGUGUGAGACUGUGAUUCCCCCACAAGUCGGGAUGAGACUCCGGACGAAAAAUAAAAAAAGAGGCCAUAA